rnacentral:rRNA from 1 species
GUUGACGGCCAUAGCAGCAGGGUUCACCCGGUCUCAUUCCGAACCCGGAAGUUAAGCCCGCUCACGUUCCUGUCUGUACUGUGGUGCGCGAGCCCACGGGAACACAGGAUCGCUGUCAACC